UGCAUCUCACUGUGACAGUGCUAAGUAGUAGUGCCGCAGGUAAUACGUUAUGAUUUACCUGCACUCUGCUGCUUAACACAAGCACGCGUGAAUAACAA
rnacentral:pre_miRNA from 1 species